rnacentral:rRNA from 1 species
CGCCUAGGCGGACGAGUAAGUCGGAUGUGAAAUCCCCCGGCUCAACCGAGGAAUCGCGUCCGAUACUGCUCGCCUUGAGUGCAGAAGGGGAGAGUGGAACUCCUGGUGUAGCGGUGAAAUGCGUUGAUAUCAGGAUGAACGCCGGUGGCGAAAGCGGCUCUCUAGUCUGUUACUGACGCUGAAGCGCGAAAGCCAGGGGAGCAAACGGGAUUAGAUACCCCGGUAGUCCUGGCCGUAAACGAUGGGCACUAGGUAGUGGAAAUUCCGAUGUUUUCUCUGCCGUAGCUAACGCGUUAAGUGCCCCGCCUGGGGAGUACGGCCGCAAGGCUAAA